AAGAAGGCAGAAUGCCACAGUUUAUAGAUUAGGCCUUAAUUAUACAUAGCAUUUUGUCUUCAUAUGUCUUGAUGACUUUCCACCGCCACAGCUUGUCAACAAAGGAUAAGACCAAGAGGAAAUGACUUUGUUGCUGCAACUUUUGCAAGUCUGCGAUACCACCGCUUGUCUUCCUUUACUUUCUGCCAAGAUUUGAUUAUUACAAAAUGCAGAGUUCAUUUCAUGCCACACAAUGAGCACUAGAGGAAUCUUGUAGCCUUUGAAUAUUGUCUUCUUUUCUUCUUUUGAUUGAUAAAGAGACACGUAGCUGGAAACAAACUUGCUGCACAUUUGCUUAAUGGGAUGUUUUGAAAGUUUUUGUCUUUAGUCCAAAGGUACAGCAACAUCACGGUUUGACAAUCAUGCUUAAUUGCAAAUAAAUUUUGUCUUGAUGUGUGUUAAUCACUUCAUGGCCUCUUGUAUUAUUAAACUUGCAUUGUUUCUUGGUCUUUGUUGCCUGACUCCUAUUUAAAGCAAGCUUGCAGCAAACUUUGACAAUCAUAGUUCAAAUAUAUAAUUUAAAACUCUUUGUCUUUUGAUGCAGGUCUUGAACAUUCCUCCACCUCCAAGUUUAACGUGGCUACUUGAGAGGUGAGCUGCUGCCAUUUUUUUUAUAUUCAUUCAUGCUUUGAACAGAGAGCAGAAGAGCCAAAAGAACUUCAUUGUUGAUCUUCUUGUCGCUUACUUUCAUUUUGGGGAAAAUCAAAACAUGACACUAAUUGUAGGCCUGCAAAUGCUUUAUAUAUUUUUUUCUGCUUUGAUCACCAUGCUGCCUUGCAGAUUCUAAACACCAGAGUCUAGACACCCUGCAAGUCAUCACCCUAUGAGAGGCAGUCAUGCUUGAAGCUUCAACAUAUCUUCUGGGAUUGCUCUGAUUUCUUCCAUCCUUUGUGGCAACUGGACUUCUUCGUUCACGGUGGGUUGUGAGCUUCAACAUUCGUUGUCUUCACUACUCAAGCACCCCUGCAGCCACCUUGUGUAGGUUGCCGGAAGUAUUCCAAGAGACCAUCGAGGGUGAGCUUUCCUCUCCAGACACCAGUUUCAAUGAUUUGUGGUUUGUCUCGCUUGGUAAAUUCCUUGUGUGGCUUGUUUGCAAGUGGUGUAAGGCCCUUUGUUGUGUUGCGGUGGAAGGGAUGGCAGGAGGUAGAAGGCUUUUGGUGGUGACCGUUGUUGACUUCCAGAACGGAUGGCAUGACACUCCACCGAUUGGUCAUACACUCGUUGAUACACAUGUAUCAUAUACGAGAUUGCGACCGUUCGGGGAUCUCCAUGGCUCCACAGCGACACCAAUAAAAGAGACCCUGCAAAAAAAA